rnacentral:rRNA from 1 species
UACGGAGGGUGCGAGCGUUGUCCGGAAUCACUGGGCGUAAAGGGCGCGUAGGCGGCCUGAUAAGUAGGGGGUGAAAUCCUGCGGCUUAACCACAGGGCUGCCUUCUAAACUGUCAGGCUCGAGCACAGUAGAGGCAGGUGGAAUUCCCGGUGUAGCGGUGGAAUGCGUAGAGAUCGGGAAGAACAUCAGUGGCGAAGGCGGCCUGCUGGGCUGUUGCUGACGCUGAGGCGCGACAGCGUGGGGAGCAAACAGG